AUGGUGACUCCUCUUACUGGCACACACGAGGGUGUAUCGUGUGAUGGGUGUGCUUUCACCGCGUUUGCUGGAAACCGUUACAAAUGCCUACGAUGCAGUGAUUACGAUCUCUGCUUCAGUUGUUUUACCACAAAGAACUACGGAGACCAGCAAACAAUAGCUGAUAUCCCAAUACACGACGAGUCCCAUCCAAUGCAGUUAAUUUUGAGCUCUGUGGACUUUGACCUCGUAUACCAAGGCGACCCUACGCGACAUUAUGACGAACGGAAAAUUGUUUCCUUCACUUGUCCGUAUUGUAAUAUAACAGGAUUGACCGAACGGCAAUUUGGGACACAUGUACUUUCACAACAUCCGGAGGCUCCGGGCUACAGUGUGAUAUGCCCGCUUUGUAUUGGAAACACAGAGAUGGAGCACAUUCAAUCGAAAGAAACUGAAAAUUUGAGCGUACAUUGGACAGAGAUUCAUCUUCAUACAAUGGAAAACCUAUUUCGUUCAACUGAACCAAUAACUACUCGCCCAGUUCAGCGACGUCCAAUGUUAGCAAGAAGAGGAAAUCGAGCAGGAGUGUCACGAACAGCAGCACAAGGAAGGCCUUUACAGGACGAAAUAGAGAUGAUGACCGUACCGUUAUUGCCUGGAAUUCGAAGUUCGCAACGAUUAAUGACAAGUACUGGUGACCGACCGACUGUUGUUGUAGAAAGUGCCGUGACACAUCAAGAUCCGAAUGUUCAGCAAGUCAUAAGGCCAUUGGCAACUAUUCCGAUUUAUCCUCCGACUUCUGACGAAUCAGGAGACGAGACUCCUCAGCCAGCAGCAGAUUCUGCAGAUGAAUCAGAAGAUGAUAAUGAUAUUCAAGAGUUGGAUGACAUGCAACCUGUGAGUUUUUCUCGAGAAAAAUAUAGUUUUUUCGUUUACUUGAAUUUGUUAAAAAUACCGUCAGUCGGGAAAUUGCUAGAAACCAAUUCGAGCGCUGAAAUGAAUAAAUAUAAUAUAACGUUCAUUUAAAUUUUCGAGCGAAAAAGCGAUAAUUAAUCAGUUUUUGUAACUCUUAAUUUUGAAACUCGACCAUCAAGCAAGUUUUUAAAAAAAUACUAGGAUACCUGGAAUGUUUAGAUUUUGUUAGUGUAUUUAGACACAAUCCCCAUUGGAACUACAUCAAUCUGAACAACAUCGAAAAAAUAAACUUGUAAUGUUUAUUUUAAUCGUUUUCGAAAAUAUCCCGUUUGACGUCUUAAAAUUGAAACUAGGUUAAUCGAAGGAUUAAUCUUUACGAAGAUUAAACAAAUGCAUAUUUGACAUUUCCAAUUAAGAUCGUCGAGGAUGAAGCUUUAAAAAAGGACGAAUUCUGGAAAACACUGAAAACAAGAAUAAGCGAGGAAGAUGUUGACUUGAUACUGGAAACUAUGAAAUCAACUGCAAAAGUGAAAGAAGAUAUAGAUGAUAAGAUGCCUGUUUGGACACAGCGUCCCUUAAAACGAUUAGCAAAUGCUGCUCAAGUGACGACUACGUCUGAUUCCGAAGGUGAUCCGGGUUGGUUGCCACUUUCAUUCGAAACAACUCCAAUUCGAUCAACUGGAUGUGGAGGUUAUUGGUCUGACAAACGAUUUCUUCGACCCAGAAAAAUGCAACGUGAGCAAUCUGUAGCUAGUUCGAAUGCUGAAAUUAUGGAAAAAGCUGAAAUCGCGUUGGCUCUGAUACGAGCUUCUUGCCUUCAUGAGCCCGUUUUUACUGAUCCAACAAAGCCUGAUAUCGCAUUAAAGGAGGCUCUCCAGCAUCUACGGCUAGGAGAAAAACCGGCAAAAAUGAUGGAAUAUCAAGCAGCGGAGGAACUUGUCAAUAUGCCGGAACGAGACCCAAUUACCACUGGAGAAAUGGAAGUUGAAAUUCCCGAUUUUACAGCGAGAGGAUAUGGACAAAUUGUAGACGGAAAUAUUCCACUUGGUGUCGUUCCAGAGGCUGAUGAGGCCAUAACAAAUUCUGAAGAUGAAGAAAUUGUCGGAGGAGAAACAUCUGGAGACGACGAGGACGAACAAGAAGACGAUGAGAAUGACAGUCAGGAUAGUUCAGUUCCAGAGGAAAUUAACAUUGAUUGA